rnacentral:rRNA from 1 species
AUUGAACGCUGGCGGCAGGCCUAACACAUGCAAGUCGAACGAGUGGCGGACGGGUGAGUAAUGUCUGGGAAACUGCCUGAUGGAGGGGGAUAACUACUGGAAACGGUAGCUAAUACCGCAUACCAUCGGAUGUGCCCAGAUGGGAUUAGCGAGUAGGUGGGGUAACGGCUCACCAAGGCGACGAUCCCUAGCUGGUCUGAGAGGAUGACAAGCCACACUGGAACUGAGACAAGGUCCAGACUCCUACGCGAGGCAGCAGUGGGGAAUAUUGCACAAUGGGCGCAAGCCUGAUGCAGCCAUGCCGCGUGUAUGAAGAAGGCCGUCGGGUUGUAAAGUACUUUCAGCGGGGAGGCGUUACUCGCAGAAGAAGCACCGGCUAACUCCGUGCCAGCAGCCGCGGUAAUUC